rnacentral:rRNA from 1 species
AUAACGGUCCUAAGGUAGCGAAAUUCCUUGUCAGGUAAGUUCUGACCCGCACGAAUGGCGUAAUGAUUUGGGCACUGUCUCAACAGCCCGCCCGGCGAAAUUGUAGUACUGGUGAAGAUGCCAGUUACCCGCAACUAGACGGAAAGACCCCAUGGAGCUUUACUGCAGCUUAAUACUGAAAUUCGGUAGUACAUGUACAGGAUAGGUGGGAGACUGAGAAAUACAGGCGUCAGCUUGUAUGGAGUCGCUGUUGGGAUACCACUCUUGUACUGCUGGGUUUCUAACCUGCGGCCGUGAAUCCGGUCGGGGGACACUGUUAGGCGGGCAGUUUGACUGGGGCGGUCGCCUCCAAAAGAGUAACGGAGGCGCUCAAAGGUUCGCUCAGCAUGGACGGAAACCAUGCUAUUGAGUGUAAACGCAUAAGCGAGCCUAACUGCGAGACUGACGGGUCGAGCAGUAACGAAAGUUGGAGUUAGUGAUCCGGUGGUAUGUGAGUGGAAAUGCCAUCGCUCAACGGAUAAAAGUUACCCUGGGGAUAACAGGCUGAUCUCCCCCAAGAGUCCACAUCGACGGGGAGGUUUGGCACCUCGAUGUCGGCUCAUCGCAUCCUGGGGCUGUAUUCGGUCCCAAGGGUUUGGCUGUUCGCCAAUUAAAGCGGCACGCGAGCUGGGUUCAGAACGUCGUGAGACAGUUCGGUCCCUAUCUGUUGCGGGCGUAAGAGAUUUGAAGGGAGCUGUCCUUAGUACGAGAGGACCGGGAUGGACGUACCUCUGGUGCACCAGUUGUCCUGCCAAGGGCAUAGCUGGGUAGCUAUGUACGGACGAGAUAAACGCUGAAAGCAUCUAAGCGUGAAACUCCCCCUAAGAUGAGAUCUCUCAUCCUUUAUGGAGUAAGGGCCCAGAAAGACGAUCUGGUUGAUAGGCCGGAGGUGGAAGUGCAGUAAUGUAUGCAGCUGACCGGUACUAAUAGCCCGAGGGCUUGACCUA